GAAAUGCGAUAAGUAAUGUGAAUUGCAGAAUUCAGUGAAUCAUCGAAUCUUUGAACGCACCUUGCGCUCCUUGGUAUUCCUUGGAGCAUGCCUGUUUGAGUAUCAUGAAAUCUUCAAAGUAAAUCUUUUGUUAACUCAAUUGGUUUCUACUUUGGUAUUGGAGGUCUUUGCAGCUCCACACCUGCUCCUCUUUGUUCAUUAGCUGGAUCUCAGUGUUAUGCUUGGUUCCACUCGGCGUGAUAAGUUAUCUAUCGCUGAGGACACUGUAAAAGGUGGCCAAGGUAAAUGCAGAUGAACCGCUUCUAAUAGUCCAUUGACUUGGACAAUACUUUUAUGAUCUGAUCUCAAAUCAGGUGGGACUACCCGCUGAACUUAAGC
rnacentral:misc_RNA from 1 species